rnacentral:misc_RNA from 1 species
AUUAUUACCGGCCCAUGUCG